GGGCUCGUAGCGUAACGGUUAUCGCGCCUCCAUGGCAUGGAGGAGACUAGGGGUUCGAUUCCCCUCGAGUCCACUA
rnacentral:tRNA from 4 species